CUUGGUAACCGGCUAGAAAUCCCGCAGGCGCGCCUCCCUCCUCUCUCCAGGCCUGACCUGCCCCUCCCCUCCUCCUUCCUCCUUCCCCCUUCCCGCAAGGCAGGAGCUUCGCAAGGGCUCAGAGACGGGGUGGGCUGCGCGACCCUGCGUCAGCUCCAGGCGAGAGAAAGCGCGUCCUCUCCCGCGUCCCUGGAAACCGCGGGCUUUCGGGGCUGCGCAGAGCCGUGGAAUUCUGCUGGUUGGAGACGCGCUGGGCGCGGCCCUUUUACCUGGCCUUCGUGUUCUGCCUGGCCCUGGGGCUGCUCCAGGCCAUUAAGCUCUACCUGAGGAGGCAGCGGCUGCUGCGGGACCUGCGCCCCUUCCCAACGCCGCCCACCCACUGGUUCUUUGGGCACCAGAAGGCUGUAGUGCAAUGGCUGCGAUCUCGGCUCACUGCAACCUCCGCCCCCGGGUUCAAGCGAUUCUCCUGCCUCAGCCUCCCAAGUAAAGGAUUACAAGCACGCGCCACCACGCUGGGCUAAUUUUGUGUUUUUAGUAGAGACGGGAUUUCUCCAUGUUGGUAGGCUGGUCUCGAACUCCAGACCUCAGACCCCAAGUCCCAGUAUGUACAGAAAUUCUUAUCUCCUCUUAUUGGAAAAGGACUAGUGCUCUAGAUGGACCCAAGAGAUUCCAGAAUCAUCACCUACUAACUUCUGGAUUCCAUGUUAACAUCCUGAAAGCAUACAUCAAGGGACCAGCUGGGUGAAAUGUUGUACACCACAAUGUGCAUCAAGGAGACAUUCUGAUUGAUUCCUGCAGUCCCAUCCAUUUCCAGAGAUCUCAGCAAGCCGCUUACCUUCCCAGAUGGAUGCACAUUGCCUGCAGGGAUCACUGUGGUUCUUAGUAUUUGGGGUCUUCACCACAACCCUGCUGUCUGGAAAAACCCAAAGGUCUUCGACCCCUUGAAGUUUUCUCAGGAGAAUUCUGAUCAGAGACACCCCUAUGCCUACUUACCAUUCUUAGCUGGAUCAAGGAACUGCAUUGGGCAGCAGUUCGCCAUGAUUGAGUUAAAGGUGGCCAUUGCCUUGAUUCUGCUGCACUUCAGAGUGACUCCAGACCCCACCAGGCCUCCUACUUUCUCCAACCAUUUUAUCCUCAAACCCAAGAAUGGGAUGUAUUUGCACCUGGAGAAACUCCCUGAAUGUUGGAUCUCAGGGUAGAAUGAUUAAAUAUACUUUGCUUUUAAGUUAAAUUUACAGCUGCUGGUCCAAGCAGAUCAUAAGGGAUCAAUGUGUGGUGGGAGGAUUGGAGGUUGGUGGCAUAGGGAUCUCUGUGAAGCUACACAUGAUCCAAAAUUAUUUCUAGGUACACAGUGUAUCAGCUAGAUCUGUUACUACAUGACUUUUAGAGAUUUUUAGAUCUUUUCUGUUAGACUUUCACUACUAUUAAUGCUAUAUACCAGCAGACUUUCAUAUAUUUUCUUUCAUUUUAAAAAAUAGUUUUCAGAACUAUGCAAUAAGUGCAUGUAUGCUCACUGUCAAAAAUUCCCAACUAGAAAAGCAUGUAGAAUAAAAAUUUUAAAUCUCACUUCACAUUCCAUAGCCUACAUUUCAUGCCCUGACCAAUCCCACUGCUUGGGAUGGGGAGAGAUAGCAUGGGGAGAAAUGCCAGAUAUAGGUGAAGGGGAGGAAGGCAGCAAAUCACACUGCCAUGUGUGAAUCUAUGCAACUAUCUUGCAUGUUCUUCACAUGUACCCCAAAACCUAAAAUGCAAUAAAAAAACAAGCAAUAAAAAUAUACCUACCCUGUUUGUACUCCAUUACACAAAAUAUAAAAACUCUCAAAAUACUCUGUUAUAAAAAAUAUACAAUGUCCUUUUUUACUGUUAUAAAAUAUAUACACUGUCUAGAUGUACUGUCAUAAAAUAUAUCCAAAUUCUAUCUCUACUCUGUUAUAAAAAAUAUACAUUAAACUGAUUGUACUCCAUUAUACAAAAUAUAAAAACUCAAAAUUCUGUUUUCAAAAAUAUACAAAGUCCUUUUGUACUCUGUUAUAAAAUAUAUACAUUGUCUAUAUGUACUCUCUUCUAAAACAUAUUCAAAUUCUAUUUGUACUUUGUUUUAAAAACUAUACAUACCUGUUUGUACUCCAUUAUACAAAAUGUAAAAAUGCUUAAAAUACUGUUUUAAA